GGACCCGACUGCUAUUUGGGUGAGAAUAAGCCAUGCGAGUCGAAUGGGAUACCUAAAUCUCCCAUGGCAAACUGCUCAGUAACACAUGAUCAACUUACCCUAUAGAGAAAAAUAACCUCGGGAAACUGAGGAUAAUGUUUCAUAGUUGAAUAGGCUUGGAAAAGUUUUUCAAUAAAAGGGAUAAGGAAAAUGGUCCUUAUCCGCUAUAGGAUAGGAUCGUGUUCGAUUAUGGUUGUUGGUGAGGUAACGGCUCACCAAGCCGAUAAUCGAUAGGGGCCGUGAGAGCGGGAGCCCCGAGAUGGGUACUGAGACAACGACCCAGGCCUUACGAGGCGCAGCAGGCGCGGAACCUCCGCAAUACACGAAAGUGUGACGGGGUUACCCAAAGUGCUCUUUCUAGAGCUGUGGUAGGUGAGUAAUGUUCCCUACUAGGAAGGAGAGGGCAAGGCUGGUGCCAGCCGCCGCGGUAAAACCAGCUCUUCAAGUGGUCGGGAUAAUUAUUGGGCUUAAAGUGUCCGUAGCCGGUUUAGAAAGUUCCUGGUAAAAUCGGGUAGCUUAACUAUCCGUAUGCUAGGAAUACUGCUAUACUAGAGGGCGGGAGAGGUCUGAGGUACUACAGGGGUAGGGGUGAAAUCUUAUAAUCCUUGUAGGACCACCAGUGGCGAAGGCGUCAGACUGGAACGCGCCUGACGGUGAGGGACGAAAGCCAGGGGAGCGAACCGGAUUAGAUACCCGGGUAGUCCUGGCCGUAAACGAUGCAUACUAGGUGAUGGUACGGCCAUGAGCCGUAUCAGUGCCGUAGGGAAACCGUUAAGUGUGCCGCCUGGGAAGUACGGUCGCAAGGCUAAAACUUAA
rnacentral:rRNA from 1 species